rnacentral:lncRNA from 1 species
GUGUGUUUUGUGGACUUGUGCAGAGAGAUGUCAACUGAAUCUGAUACCAUCUCAAUGACAAAUCUGUUUGAGAGGUCCUGAAAGCUUUUCUAGCUGUCUGCUACUCAGUGUGGUCAUUCCUAUGAGUUCCUAUUUCAAUCAGCAAGCUGAGUGUCCAUUAACAAUACCACGCCAGAGAUAAAGACUUCAGAACUCUCCCUUUCUAGCAGGUCCCUGAGAUGAGAACUGAGAAGAAUGGAAGGUUGGAAGAAUGCAGUGAGAGAUGAUGGAGUGGCUAGGAAGCACUAUUUGCUUUGAGAGGCAGCAGUUGGUGCUGAUGGAACGACCCAUGUUGGUGAUCAGAGUGCGUGUUCAGAGAAUGUGGGCUUUUUUUGUUCUUGUCUCAUUCCAGACUUAAACUCUCAUGAUAUCCGAGAUGUCUUGAACAUCCUUUCGUGAAAUACCCUCAAGCACUGAAUUGCUGCAGCUGGGAGAAACCGGUUGCUUUUUGACUAAAGCAAUAGAGCCGCUACCUUCGGGUGCUGCGAUGGAAACUGGACGCUCGCUAAUUGCUACCACUGUUUGCUCACAAGGCUGCGUGUUAAUGAAGGUGAGUGAUCAAGCUGAGAGUGUCCCACAGCGUGGC